rnacentral:rRNA from 1 species
UACGGGAGGCAGCAGUGGGGAAUAUUGGACAAUGGGCGAAAGCCUGAUCCAGCCAUGCCGCAUGAGUGAAGAAGGCCUUCGGGUUGUAAAGCUCUUUUAGUGAGAAAGAUAAUGACGGUACUCACAGAAGAAGUCCUGGCUAACUCCGUGCCAGCAGCCGCGGUAAUACGGAGAGGGCUAGCGUUAUUCGGAAUUAUUGGGCGUAAAGAGCGCGUAGGCUGAUUAGUAAGUUAAAAGUGAAAUCCCAAAGCUUAACUUUGGAAUUGCUUUUUAAAACUGCUAGUCUAGAGAUUGAAAGAGGAUAGAGGAAUUCCUAGUGUAGAGGUGAAAUUCGUAAAUAUUAGGAGGAACACCAGUGGCGAAGGCGUCUAUCUGGUUCAAAUCUGACGCUGAGGCGCGAAGGGCGUGGGGAGCGAAACAGGGAUUAGAUA